AUGCUCGCAGAGCAGAGCAGAGGAGGACGACGCAGUGAGAGCACAAUGCGAGCCGCUAGCUCGCGCGCCCGCCGUCUCCUAUCUGCAAGGCUCGUCGCCGUUGGACUCGUCCGCUCCCGGGUCUCCAAAUGCUGGCCAGGAUGCACCGGCUGCAGCUGCAGAAGCACCGAGGAGCUCCAUUGCUGGGGUAGGAGGAAGAUGGGGCAUUUUCUUGAGAGGAGGAGAUUACUAUUCAAGUGUGAGGGCGAGAAGAAGAUGCUAGAGAAAAAAGGAUUAGUGGUGUUUAUAUACUCACAUGGCUAG
rnacentral:rRNA from 1 species